UUGGAAACUGAUUUACUUGAGUGCGAUAGAGGCAAGUGGAACUCCAUGGUGUAGCGGUGAAAAUGCGUAAAUAUGUGGAAGAACACCAGUGGCGAAAGCGGCUUGCUAGAUCGUAACUGACGUUGAGGCUCGAAAGUAUGGGUAGCAAACGGGAUUAGAUACCCCGGUAGUCCAUACCGUAAACGAUGGGUGCUAGUUGUUAAGAGGUUUCCGCCUCCUAGUGACGUAGCAAACGCAUUAAGCACCCCGCCUGAGGAGUACGGCCGCAAGGCUAAAACUUAAAGGAAUUGACGGGGACCCGCACAAGCGG
rnacentral:rRNA from 1 species